rnacentral:rRNA from 1 species
UAGUCAUAUGCUUGUCUCAAAGACUAAGCCAUGCAUGUCUAAGUAUAAAAGUAUUCUAUACUUGAAACUGCGGAAAGCUCAUUAAAUCAGUUAUAGUUUAUUUGAUGGUACCUUACUACAUGGAUACCCGUAGUAAUUCUAGAGCUAAUACAUGCGUAAAAGCCCGACUCGCGAGGGGAGGGCUGUAUUUAUUAGAUAAAAAACCAAUGCACCCGCAAGGGUGCUUUUGUGGUGAAUCAUAAUAACUGUUCGAAUCGCAUGACCUCGUGUCGGCGAU